ACCUCAGACAGCAGCGGUGUAUAUUUUCGUAGCUAAUGGAAAACUAAACAAGUUAAACCUUUAAAAAAAGAGUCAGAUAUAAAACAUAAAAACUCUCGAAGUCUUAUUUUGUUCUUUUUCUAUCUUUUUUAAGCUUUAUUUGCUUAAAAAAAAACUAAACAAAACACGGUUAAAGAAGAAGAAGAAGGUAAGUCUUCCAGGCUGCUGCUGUUCAAUGACAACUGAAGCCUAAAUCCUGACCCAUCCUGUUCCCUCAUGAAGCAGAGGAGUGGAGCAAGUCAUGUGGGUUCCUCUGAUCUCUGUGAACUUCACUUUAACUGUGUAUGACACGACGAGGCGUACA